rnacentral:rRNA from 1 species
UUGGAGGGCAAGUCUGGUGCCAGCAGCCGCGGUAAUUCCAGCUCCAAUAGCGUAUAUUAAAGUUGUUGCAGUUAAAAAGCUCGUAGUUGAAUUUCGAGAUCAGUACGCUGGUCGUGCCUUCGGUAUGCACUGGUGUCACUGGUUUCUCCCUUCUGAAGAACCGUCAUGUCAUUAAGUUGGUGUGGCGGGGAAUCAGGACUGUUACUUUGAAAAAAUUAGAGUGUUUAAAGCAGGCUCGCGCUUGAAUACAUUAGCAUGGAAUAAUGAAAUAGGACGUUUGACCCUAUUUUGUUGGUUUCUAGGAUCGACGUAAUGAUUAAUAGGGAUAGUUGGGGGCAUUAGUAUUCAACUGUCAGAGGUGAAAUUCUUGGAUUUAUUGAAGACUAACUACUGCGUAAGCAUUUGCCAAGGAUGUUUUCAUUAAUCAAGAACGAAAGUUAGGGGAUCGAAGACGAUCAGAUACCGUCGUAGUCUUAACCAUAAACUAUGCCGACUAGGGAUCGGAUGAUGUUAAUUUUUUAAUGACUCAUUCGGCGCCUUACGGGAAACCAAAGUGUUUGGGUUC